rnacentral:rRNA from 1 species
GUACUCAGUUCGGAUUGAAGGCUGAAAUUCGCCUUCAUGAAGCUGGAAUUGCUAGUAAUGGCAGGUCAGCAUACUGCCGUGAAUACGUUCCCGGGCCUUGUACACACCGCCCGUCACACCAUGAGAGUUGGGAAUACCCGAAGCCUGUGAGCUAACUGUAAGGAGGCAGCAGUCGAAGGUAGAAUCAAUGAUUGGGGUGAAGUCGUAACAAGGUACC